rnacentral:lncRNA from 1 species
UACUACUUCAGCCUAGUAUGAGAGGAAUUGUUCCAUUAACACAAUCGAUCAUUUUGCUUGGAUGAACAAUUGGGAAAAAGGAAGAGUUUUGGUACUAGAUGGUCAGCAAUCUUGGAUUCCCAUGGCAUACCAAACAAUCCAAGUAAAACAUUCCAACUAGCUUUUAAGGAUAAGUUUGUUACAGUUGUAAUGCAGAGCCAAGUUGGUUUUCUUGCUGAGUUUGGUUCUUGAUGAAACCUGAAGUGAGAAAUCACAUUUGUGAUUCGAAAACACUAGAAAAGAUUUGAACUUUAUGUGGUUUUACUCUAUAUUUUUAAUAUUAAUUUAAACAUGACAACGCAAGUGUCUAGUAUCUUUAGUUUCUAGGCUUACCUAAUAAUUUUACCUGCUUUCCUUCCAGGAUAUUUUCAGUAUUUCAUUUUUCAUUCAUGAAGUUAUUAUGGAGAUUGAUCAAGAACUGGGAGAUGUUUCUGGGAUGUAGAUCCAUGAUGAAA